rnacentral:rRNA from 1 species
ACAAGCGGUGGAUGAUGUGGAUAAUUCGAUGCAACGCGAAGAACCUUACCUACCCUUGACAUGUCCGGAACUUGCCAGAGAUGGCUUGGUGCCCGAAAGGGAAUCGGAACACAGGUGCUGCAUGGCUGUCGUCAGCUCGUGUCGUGAGAUGUUGGGUUAAGUCCCGCAACGAGCGCAACCCUUAUCAUUAGUUGCUACGCAAGGGCACUCUAAUGAGACUGCCGGUGACAAACCGGAGGAAGGUGGGGAUGACGUCAAGUCCUCAUGGCCCUUAUGGGUAGGGCUUCACACGUCAUACAAUGGGGUGUACAGAAAGCUGCGAUACGGUGACGUGGAGCAAAUCUCAAAAACACCUCCCAGUUCGGAUUGUUCUCUGCAACUCGAGAACAUGAAGUUGGAAUCGCUAGUAAUCGUAGAUCAGCAAUGCUACGGUGAAUACGUUCCCGGGUCUU